AUUGAACGCUGGCGGCAGGCCUAACAAAUGCAAGUCGAACGAGUGGCGGACGGGUGAGUAAAGUCUGGGAAACUGCCUGAUGGAGGGGGAUAACUACUGGAAACGGUAGCUAAUACCGCAUACCAUCGGACUUGCCCAAAUUGGAUUAGCUAGUAGGUGGGGUAAAGGCUCACCUAGGCGACGAGCCCUAGCUGGUCGGAGAGGAUGACCAGCCACACUGUAACUGAGACACGGUCCAGACUCCUAAGUGAGGCAGCAGUGGGGAAUAGUGCACAAUGGGCGCAAGCCUGAUGCAGCCAUGCCGCGUGUAUGAAGAAGGCCUUCGGGUUGUAAAGUACUUUCAGCGGGGAGGCGUUACCCGAAGAAGAAGCACCGGCUAACUCCGUGCCAGCAGCCGCGGUAAUUC
rnacentral:rRNA from 1 species